AUUCCGACCUGGGUGGCUUCGUGGGUACGCAUCCAGCUCUUUGAAGUUCAAGGCCUGAGAAGUCCCUGGGCAGCCGGGUGUCAGAGAAUUCGCCUGGGGUUAAAAGGCGCCUCCUACUGGAGCUGCCUGCCUCCUUAUCUCACCACACUGCUACCUCACCAGAACUGGAGGGGAGGCCUCAAAAAUGAGAAGAUUCUAUUCUUGGAUCUGCCAGCACUGGGGAUGUUUUGAUUUAAGCUGAGGGUCUCUGCAGGACCCUGGCUCUGAAUACCCAUGCCAGGAAUUUCCAAGAGCUGGCAGAAUAAUGGGCACCCAAAACUGUUCACAUCUCAGUCUCUGGAACCCAGGACCUUAAGUGGUAGACUAUAGGAUCAAUAUGAGUAUCAGAGGCAGCAGCAGGAUGCGAUGCUCUGUGUGAGUCCCCGUGAGAUCUGAACUGCAGUUGCUGAGAACUGAACUGCCCCCUCGGGAACACAGGACUCCUUAGAGCAGGCUUGUCUGAUGGACCGUUCCUGAACUCUGGACUCAUGAUGCUGGAGAAUGAACAUCUAGCUGGGCUUGGUGAUGCACAUGUGUAAUCCCAGUGCCUUUGGAAACUGAGGCAGGGGGAUCAGAAGAUCAAGGUCACCCUUCCUGAGAAUAGCUUUGUGUGGUUCUGUCUCAACACACACACCAAAAAUCAAAAANAAAAAAAAAAACA
rnacentral:lncRNA from 1 species